rnacentral:misc_RNA from 1 species
UACAGAAGCCUCGAGCGUUACCCGGAUUCACUGGGCGUAAAGGGUGCGUAGGCGGUUAUAUUAGUCGGAUGUUAAAUCUUGGGGCUCAACCCCAAGCUCGCGUCCGAAACGGUAUAACUAGAAGAUGUGAGAGGUCUAGAGAACUCAUGGUGUAGGGGUGAAAUCCGUUGAUAUCAUGGGGAAUACCAAAUGCGAAGGCACUAGACUGGCACACUCUUGACGCUGAGGCACGAAAGCGUGGGUAGCGAACGGG